rnacentral:rRNA from 1 species
CCUACGGGUGGCAGCAGUGAGGAAUAUUGGUCAAUGGACGCGAGUCUGAACCAGCCAUGCCGCGUGCAGGAUGACUGCCCUAUGGGUUGUAAACUUCUUUUAUACAGGGAUAAACUCAGGUACGCGUAUCUUUUUGUAAGUAUUUUAUGAAUAAGGAUCGGCUAACUCCGUGCCAGCAGCCGCGGUAAUACGGAGGAUUCAAGCGUUAUCCGGAUUUAUUGGGUUUAAAGGGAGCGUAGAUGGGUUGUUAAGUUAGUUGUGAAAGUUUGCGGCUCAACUGUGGAAUUGCAAUUGAUACUGGCAGGCUUGAGAAUAGUUGAGGUAGGCGGAAUGUAUGGUGUAGCGGUGAAAUGCUUAGAGAUCACGAAGAACACCGAUUGCGAAGGCAGCUUACCAAGCUGCCUCUGACGUUGAGGCACGAAAGCGUGGGGAUCAAACAGGAUUAGAUACCCGAGUAGUC